GAUGAACGCUAGCGGCAGGCCUAACACAUGCAAGUCGAGGGGCAUCGCGGUGCAGCAAUGCACUGGCGGCGACCGGCGUACGGGUGCGUAACGCGUAUGCAACCUGCCCCGCACCGGGGGAUAGCCCGCCGAAAGGCGGAUUAAUACCCCAUGGCCCCGGGGGCCCGCAUGGGCAUCCGGGUAAAGCUUUGGCGGUGCGGGAUGGGCAUGCGUGCCAUUAGCUGGCUGGUGGGGUAACGGCCCACCAGGGCAACGAUGGCUAGGGGGUCUGAGAGGAUGGUCCCCCACACUGGUACUGAGACACGGACCAGACUCCUACGGGAGGCAGCAGUGAGGAAUAUUGGUCAAUGGGCGGAAGCCUGAACCAGCCAUGCCGCGUGCGGGAUGAAGGCCCUACGGGUUGUAAACCGCUUUUCCCCGGGAAGAAUAACCCCGAUGAGUCGGGGAUGCCGGUACCGGGGAAUAAGGAUCGGCUAACUCCGUG
rnacentral:rRNA from 1 species